GACGAACGCUGGCGGCAUGCCUAACACAUGCAAGUCGAACGGAGAAUGUCAAAUGAAGUUUUCGGAUGGAUUUUGAUAUUCUUAGUGGCGGACGGGUGAGUAACGCGUGAGCAACCUGCCUUUCAGUGGGGGACAACAGUUGGAAACGACUGCUAAUACCGCAUAAUGUAUACGGAUCGCAUGGUCUGUAUACCAAAGAUUUAUCGCUGAAAGAUGGGCUCGCGUAUGAUUAGAUAGUUGGUGAGGUAACGGCUCACCAAGUCGACGAUCAUUAGCCGGACUGAGAGGUUGAACGGCCACAUUGGGACUGAGACACGGCCCAGACUCCUACGGGAGGCAGCAGUGAGGAAUAUUGGGCAAUGGGCGCAAGCCUGACCCAGCAAUGCCGCGUGAAGGAAGAAGGCUUUCGGGUUGUAAACUUCUUUUGUCAGGGACGAAUUCUGACGGUACCUGACGAAUAGCCACGGCUAACUACGUGCCAGCAG
rnacentral:rRNA from 1 species